UCAUAUGUACAUGCCUAAAAUGUUAAUGCAUCGAAUCCCAUUAGAACUCUACAUUUAAGUGAACUUGGGAUAGAGUAGUAUUGAGAUGGAUAACCUAUUUGGAAGUCCUAGUGUUUUACAUGCC
rnacentral:rRNA from 1 species